UUUGUGUUUGAGUGCAAGUAAUCCAAGAAACCCAAUAAUAUUGGGUUUCAGCCCAAUGCCCGGCAGCCCGAGCUCAAGUCAAGCCAGCAUUCCAACGCGUCCCAACCGCGUCCCAAUCCUCCACACCAUUAGCGACGUCCCAAGGAUCUCGCGAUCAGCCCAGACGCGUCUCCAGCUCCCAAGUCCGCCCUUGCAGCACCAACUUGAUCGUGCCAGGCCGUCCGCGUCUUCAGCGCGUCCCCACCACGCCUCACAGCCAUCCAGCCAGUUUUCCAAUCCUCCACGCCAUCAACGCGAUCGAAGCAGCGUCCCACGAUCAGCCGUGCCGACCACACGUCCGUUUCUUCUCCCAGCAUGUCUUCACGUCCUUCUCCCAGCGCCCAUCAAGCCAUGAUCGGCUCGUCCCAGCGAUCCCACGGCGCCCUCCUGUCGAUCCCGCGGCCAGCCCCUCUUCCGUCCGUGAUCCCACGCUGCACCCCGCCUCUGCAUCCGCCUCUCCGCGUCAAAGGGAAGAGCAAUGGUCCCAUCGUCCGCGUCCGAGCUUCCCGGAUCUCUUCUGUGCCCCAGCAAUCGGAUCCCCCAAGCAUCUCCCGUGAUCCAAGCAUUCCCGAAUCAGCCUCCCCAUGAUCCAGCCAUCCUCUUCAUCAGCCAUCCGUAAAGGAAGCAACCAGCAGCAAAACCAAUUCCGAGCGAUCAUGCAUGAUCCCAGCCUCCCGCAUCAUGCCAAAGAUCCCGCGGUAGCCUUCAUUGUCAGCCAUCGCAGCAUCCCGCAUCCGCCCUCUCCUUCCUCCCGUCGAUCCCGCGACGCUCUUCAUCCGGAUCCACGUCCUCUUCCCAACCUUCCGUUUCAGUCUCCCAGCGUCACGCGAUUCAUCCCAAGCACAGCCCAUAUGAUCCUCUCAACGUAAUCAGGGGGGGUGGACGACCUAUUUAAGAAGGAGGGUGGAGCGCUCGGUGAAGGAGGAGUGGUGGAGGUCGGUUGGGCCAAAGAACAGGGGAAGGAGCGCUCAGUUUGGGAGAGAAAAGAGAAAGAAAAAAAAAGAGACGGAGCAUGGCUCUGUUUUGAAAAGAAAGAAUAAAAAAUUAGGGGAGGAGAAGAAAGGGGGAGUUUUGUGGUUUUUCUUCCUUUGUUUUUAUGUUUUAUUUUGUAGAAGGAGGAAGCAUUAGGCUUCCCAUUUUCAUUUUAUUUUUGUAAUCAAUUUAUUUUUAUCAAAUCUAUCAUUUUUCUUUCAUGAAAUCCUUGUUCUAGGUUCUGUUUAAUUUCCACUUUUUAUGCAAUUUUUUAAUUUUUUUUAUGCAAUUUAUUUUCCAGGCUUCAAUCUUCUUAACUUCCAUCCAUUUUCUAUGCUAAAGCUCUUCUUUGAUUAGUUAAAUAUGUAAAUGC
rnacentral:lncRNA from 1 species